rnacentral:rRNA from 1 species
UGCAAGUUGAACGCUGAAGACUGGUACUUGUACUAGUUGGAUGAGUAGCGAACGGGUGAGUAACGCGUGGGUAAUCUACCUCUUAGCGGGGGACAACUAUUGGAAACGAUAGCUAAUACCGCAUAACAAUCACUAACACAUGUUAGUGAUUUGAAAGCACCAAUUGGUGCACUAAGAGAUGGACCCGCGUUGUAUUAGCUAGUUGGUAGUGUAAUGGACUACCAAGGCGAUGAUACAUAGCCGACUUGAGAGGGUGAUCAGCCACAUUGGGACUGAGACACGGCCCAAACUCCUACGGGAGGCAGCAGUAGGGAAUCUUCGGCAAUGGACGCAAGUCUGACCGAGCAACGCCGCGUGAGUGAAGAAGGUUUUCGGAUCGUAAAACUCUGUUGUUAGAGAAGAACGUCAGUGAGAGUGGAAAGUUCACUGAGUGACGGUAUCUAACCAGAAAGGGACGGCUAACUACGUGCCAGCAGCCGCGGUAAUACGUAGGUCCCGAGCGUUGUCCGGAUUUAUUGGGCGUAAAGCGAGCGCAGGUGGUUUAAUAAGUCUGAUGUAAAAGGCAGUGGCUCAACCAUUGUGUGCAUUGGAAACUGUUAGACUUGAGUGCAGUAGAGGAGAGUGGAAUUCCAUGUGUAGCGGUGAAAUGCGUAGAUAUAUGGAGGAACACCGGUGGCGAAAGCGGCUCUCUGGACUGUCACUGACACUGAGGCUCGAAAGCGUGGGUAGCAAACAGGAUUAGAUACCCUGGUAGUCCACACCGUAAACGAUGAGUGCUAGGUGUUUGAGGGUUUCCGCCCUUAAGUGCCGCAGCUAACGCAUUAAGCACUCCGCCUGGGGA